rnacentral:lncRNA from 1 species
CUUUUUUGUUAUGUUUUUUAUUAUUAUUUGUUGUAUACUGUUUAUGUUUUUGGCUUAUAGAUGCUUGAAGGGAAAUAGAAAUUAUUUGAAAAAAAGUUCUUCUAUUUAAAAUAUUUCAGUAUAUCGUUGAAAUGCAACCUGUUAUUAUAAUUUAAAGAUAGUAUAGCAAGGUCAAUAAACUUAUUUCAAGCAGUGUCUGACUGUAACUUAGUUACUAGGAAUCAUGUGUAGUCCUAUGCAAUAUAUAUAUUAAACUGCUGUAAAUAUUUAUUACUCACAAGGCCAGUAAAGAUUGUACACUUCAUAUCAACUGCUGAUUAUAUAAUAAUUUAAUAUUGUUUAAAUUUAAUAGAUAUUAUAUAAUAAGCUGGGAGGAUUUUAAGCUAAGCUUAAGUAUUUUGAUAAUUGGUUUAGUAGUGUAUACUAUUUUGUGAGAAGAAGAACAUUGUCAUUUUAUUAUGCAGGUUUAUGAAUGGUUUCGGAUUGUUGUAUGAAUUAUAUUUAACAACCCCAAGGAAGAAGUUCAUUGUUUUUUUUAUCUUUACUGGUGUUUAGUUGUUAAUUAGAUUGAUUUUACUUGUGAGGAAAAGUGCAC